UGGCUUAGCUAAGGUGGUUUUGAAGAUAGAGGGCGCUCUUGACCAAAGAACAAAGCAGAAAGUCAUGAAAAAUGUCAGCCGGUUUAAUGGGAUUGAGUCGAUCAGUGUGGAUUCUAAGGAACAAAAGCUAGCAGUGGUAGGAAGAGAGAUGGAUGUAAUUGGAAUGUUGCGUUCGGUUAGGAAGAUAGUUGCGGCGGACAUAGUAUCAGUUGGCCCAGCCAAGGAAGGCAAGGCAGUUGGCCCAGCCAAGAAAGGCAAG